GAUCUAUCAUCCCCUCUGGCUUUUCCUUCAAAGUUAGAUUCAGUUCCUGCUGAACCAACAGAUCUUCGACCCUUAUCCUCCAUAUCGAGAAAAUUUUCUUUCCAUCAAACUUGUCAACAUUAGUCUUCGAUCCGUUGCUCAUGAUAUCUCAACACCACAACCAUAAAUCAUGCAGAUCUGACUGAGAAAAAAUAUCUUUAAUAGAAAACUUUAGAUCCUGGCAUCUCCUUCCUUCUCCAUGCU
rnacentral:lncRNA from 1 species